GACAGAGGUGCCGAGCGUUAUGCGGAAUCACUGGGCUUAAAGCGUGUGUAGGCGGAUCUGUAAGUACCUUGUGAAAUCCCACGGCUCAACCGUGGAACUGCUUGGUAUACUGCGGGUCUUGAGCCACCUAGGGGCAAGUGGAACAAACGGUGGAGCGGUGAAAUGCGUAGAUAUCGUUUGGAACGCCAAUGGUGAAAACAACUUGCUGGGGGUGUGCUGACGCUGAGACACGAAAGCCAGGGGAGCAAACGGG
rnacentral:rRNA from 1 species